rnacentral:rRNA from 1 species
UACGUAGGGUGCAAGCGUUAAUCGGAAUUACUGGGCGUAAAGCGUGCGCAGGCGGUGAUGUAAGACAGUUGUGAAAUCCCCGGGCUCAACCUGGGAACUGCAUUCGGGACUGCAUUGCUAGAGUAUGGGAGAGGGAAGUGGAAUUUCAGGUGUAGCGGUGAAAUGCGUAGAUAUCUGAAGGAACAUCAGUGGCGAAAGCGACUUCCUGGACCAAUACUGACGCUCAUGUGCGAAAGUGUGGGGAGCGAACAGG